CAGCAUCUGUCAUCUCCAGAUUUUUUAAUGAUUGCCAUUCUAAUUGGCAUGAAAUGGUAUCUCAAUGUGGCUUUGGUAUGCAUUUCUCUAAUGACCAGUGAUGGAGAGCAUUCUUUCAUAUGCGUGUUGGCUGCAAAAUGUCUUCUUUUGAGAAGUGCCUGUUCAUAUUCUU